rnacentral:lncRNA from 1 species
CCUUCGAUCCAUAUCUAUCCAAACAAAAAAAAAAACAAAUUAAGGACAUUAUAUAUGUAAUAUUUACUGUUAUUAAGGGUGAUGGAAAUGAAGUGAUUAUGAUACGAAAUGAACUAGAUCAAAGUAACUAGCGAAGUCACAAUCCGAGGCAUCAAAUAUACGGGUGGUGUUGGAAAAAAAAAGUUAUCAUUAACCCGAGGCAACAAAUAUACAGGUGGCGUUGAAAAAAAAAGUUAUCAUUAACCCAAGGCAUCAUAUUCAAAAUGUUCUACUCUUAUACAUCUAUAAACAUGUGUCUAAGAACACUAGUAUGAGGAUUGCUAUCAUUGCUAGGCAUUGCAUGUGAAGAGGGAAAUUAAAGGACACCUGUAAUGCAGUAGCGUUAGCCUUAGCCUUCCGUUUAUGCUCCUCUUCUCUGCAACCAACAACCACAAAAAAUUGCAAUUCAGCAUCAACCCCACACCAUACAAAACAUUCACAUUGUAAUAUCAUGAUUAUAAACCAAGUACACACACACACACUCAUGGACAAAUGUGCAAAAUACACAUACAUACUCACACUCACACUCACACUAACACACACACACGGACAUACUCACACUCACACACGGACAUACACUCACACACACACACACUGCAUACACACUCACACACAUACUCACACGGACAUACACACUCUCACACACGGACAUACACUCACACACACCCUGCAUACAUACAUACACACACACACACACUGCAUACAUACAUACACACACACACACACACAGCAUACAUACAUACACACACACACACUGCAUACAUACAUACACACACACACACACUGCAUACAUACACACACACACACACACACAGCAUACAUACACACACACACACACACUGGUUAGAUGCACACACUGCACACAUACUGGUCAGAUGCACACACUACAUACACACACACACACUGCAUACACACUCACACACUGCAUACACACUCACACACAUACUCACACGGACAUACACACUCUCACACACACCCUGCAUACAUACAUACAUACACACACACACACUGCAUACAUACACACACACACACUGCAUACAUACAUACACACACACAGGCAUACAUACACACACACACACUGGUCAGAUGCACACACUGCAUUCACACGAACAUACACACUCUCACACACUGACAUACACUCACACACACCCUGCAUACAUACACACACACACUGCAUACACACUCACACACAUACUCACACGGACAUACACACUCUCACACACGGACAUACACUCACACACACCCUGCAUACAUACAUACAUACACACACACACACACUGCAUACAUACACACACACACACACUGCAUACAUACACACACACACACACACGGCAUACAUACACACACACACUGGUUAGAUGCACACACUACACUCACACGGACAUACACACUCUCACACACUGACAUACACUCACACACACCCUACAUACAUACACACACACCCUGCAUACAUACACACACACACACACACACACUGCAUACACACACACACACACACUGCAUACACACUCACACACAUACUCACACGGACAUACACACUCUCACACACGGACAUACACUCACACACACCCUGCAUACAUACAUACAUACACACACACACACACACAUUGCACACAUACACACACACACACACACUGCAUACAUACACACACACAGACACUGCAUACAUACACACACACACACUGCAUACAUACACACACACACACUGCAUACAUACACACACACACACACACUGGUCAGAUGCACACACUGCACUCACACGGACAUACACACUCUCACACACUGACAUACACUCACACACACCAUGCAUACAUACACACACACCCUGCAUACAUACACACACACCCUACAUACAUACAUACACACACACACAUUGCAUACACACACACACACACACUGCAUACAUACAUACACACGCACACACACUGCAUACACACACACACACACUGUAUACACACACACACACACACUGCUUUAUGAAAACCCCAAAUUCCAAAUUUCUAAUCUCAAUUUCAAACCCCAAAUUCCAAGCUUUAUGAAAACCCCAAAUUCCAAACCCCAAAUUCCAAAUUUCUACUGCAUACUUACAUACACACACACACUGCUUUAUGAAAACCCCAAAUUCCAAAUUUCAAACCCCAAAUUCCAAAUUUCUAAUCUCAAUUUCAAACCCCAAAUUCCAAGCUUUAUGAAAACCCCAAUUUCUAAUCUCAAUUUCACCUAAAUAUCAAAACCCUAAAAUUUGUUCAACUGCAGAAUCAAAUAAAGCUCAAACCCAAAACAAAUCCGCCCAAAUCGACGAAAAAAAUCCACCCAAAUCGACGAAAAAAAUCGAACAAUCGAAGCUUACCAGACAACUGGAGGCAGAUGAGGGCGAGCAGAUCUGUUAUGUGAAGACGAUGGAGCGGACGACGAGAGGAACAGAUGAGGAGCAGGAUGCAACUGACGGCGAGCAGGACGCAGAGAUGAGGAUGAGGAGGACGACGUGAGGGAGGAGGACGUCGACAACACUCUCUCCUAGGAUGACCGAGGUUCUUUCUCGCAAGAGCGCAAUCGGAUGAGAAGGACGACGUGAGGGAUGAGGUCUUACGAAUCCGGACGUUUUUUGGGUGGUUCGCUAAGAACUCCUAGCGAGGGGUUUAAUCCGUGCGAGUCGGAUCUAAUCCCAUUAAACCUAAUCCUUGCCCCUACCAAACAUCAGACUACAAUACCAAUUAGUGUAGUCCAGUCCAGUCCCCCCUAAGAAGGUCAAACAAACACGCCCUAAGUGCUUUUCCAGCUUAUGGAAUGUUGUCAGGAUGGAGUACACAUGGCUAUAAAGCCUGUCCACAUUGCAUGCAUGAUAAAGAAUCUAUUUACUUACCAGCGAGUCGUAAGAUUUGUUAUAUGGGGCAUCGACGUUUUCUUGAAGAUAAUCAUAGGUUUCGAAAGCAAACCAUAAAUUUUAAUGGUCGUCGAGAGCAUCGUAGUGCACCAAAGGCAGUGGACUGGUUUACAGUGUCUCGAAGAACUUUCUACAUUGAGAUUUACUUUUGGAAAACCAAAGAAAGAUGCUUCUGUUGGGCAAUGCAGAAAAAGAACUUCGAGCAGUACAAGUAGUAACAGUCAGUGGAAGAAGAAAUCUAUUUUUUAUGAACUACCUUAUUUGAGGCAUCUGUUGAUUAGACACAAUCUCGAUAUUAUGCAUAUCGAGAAGAAUAUAUGUGACAGUGUGGUGGAAACAUUGCUAGAUAUAGAAAAG